AGUGAACGCUGGCGGUAGGCCUAACACAUGCAAGUCGAACGGGAGCACAGUAAGAGCUUGCUCUUACGGGUGGCGAGUGGCGGACGGGUGAGGAAUACAUCGGAAUCUACUUUUUCGUGGGGGAUAACGUAGGGAAACUUACGCUAAUACCGCAUACGCCCUACGGGUGAAAGCAGGGGAUCUUCGGACCUUGCGCGAUUGAAUGAGCCGAUGUCGGAUUAGCUAGUUGGCGGGGUAAAGGCCCACCCAGGCGACGAUCCGUAGCUGGUCUGAGAGGAUGAUCAGCCACACUGGAACUGAGACACGGUCAAGACUCCUACGGGAGGCAGCAGUGGGGAAUAUUGGACAAUGGGGGCAAGCCUGAUCCAGCCAUACCGCGUGGGUGAAGAAGGCCUUCGGGUUGUAAAGCCCUUUUGUUGGGAAAGAAAAGCAGCAGGUUAAUACCCCGCUGUUCUGACGGUACCCAAAGAAUAAGCACCGGCUAACUUCGUG
rnacentral:rRNA from 1 species